CCCUAGUUCGGAUUGUAGGCUGAAACUCGCCUACAUGAAGCUGGAAUUGCUAGUAAUCACAGGUCAGCAUACUGUGGUGAAUACGUUCCCGGGCCUUGUACACACCGCCCGUCACACCAUGAGAGUUGAGAAUACCCGGAGCCCAUGUCAAAGUGGUCGAAGGUAGGCUUGAUGAUUGGGGUGAAGUCGUAACAAGGUACC
rnacentral:rRNA from 1 species